CCUGGGGAGUACGACCGCAAGGUUAAAACUCAAAGGAAUUGACGGGGGAGCGCACAACCGGUGGAGCAUGUGGUUUAAUUCGAUACAAAGCGAAAAACCUUACCUGGGUUUGACAUGUACCUGCACGUUCUGGGAAACCAGAAUUUCUUCGAGAGUGGUACACAGGUGAUGCAUGGCUGUCGUCAGCUCGUGUCGUGAGACGUCCACUUAAGUGUGGUAACGAGCGCAACCCUUGCUGUCAGUUACAAGUGUCUGACAGGACUGCCCCCGCAUUGCGGGGGAGGAAGGAGAGGACGACGUCAAGUCAGCAUGUCCCUUACAUCCAGGGCUACACACAUCCUACAAUGGAGCCGACAACGGGUCGCGACGGAGUAAUCCUGAGCCAAUCCUUAUAAACGGCUCCUCAGUUCAGAUUGAGGGCUGCAAUUCGCCCUCAUGAAGCCGGAAUCGGUAGUAAUCGCAAAUCAGCAGGUUGCGGUGAAUACGUUCUCGCUCCUUGUACACACUGCCCGUCAAGCCAGCAAAGUCAGCAACGCCCGAAGCGGGUGACCGUAACCAGUUUACUGGAGCGGCUCUUAUACGGCGAGGUUGGCGAUG
rnacentral:rRNA from 1 species